rnacentral:rRNA from 1 species
UACGAAGGGUGCAAGCGUUAAUCGGAAUUACUGGGCGUAAAGGGCGCGUAGGCGGCUCAUGAAGGCUGUGGUGAAAGUCCGGGGCUCAACCUCGGAUCGGCCGUGGCGACUCGUGGGCUGGAGCACUGUAGAGGCGGGUGGAAUUCCGGGUGUAGCGGUGGAAUGCGUAGAGAUCCGGAAGAACACCAGUGGCGAAGGCGGCCCGCUGGGCAGUGGCUGACGCUGAGGCGCGACAGCGUGGGGAGCAAACAGG